rnacentral:rRNA from 1 species
UACGGGAAGCAGCAGUGGGGAAUAUUGCACAAUGGGCGAAAGCCUGAUGCAGCUAUGCCGCGUGUAUGAAGAAGGCCUUAGGGUUGUAAAGUACUUUCAUCGGGGAGGAAAAAACAAAACUAAUAAUUUUAUUUCUUGACGUUACCCGAAAAAGAAGCACCGGCUAACUCCGUGCCAGCAGCCGCGGUAAUACGGAGGGUGCUAGCGUUAAUCAGAAUUACUGGGCGUAAAGAGCACGUAGGUGGUUUUUUUAAAGUCAGAUGUGAAAUCCCUGGGCUUAACCUGGAAACUGCAUUUUGAAACUGAAAUACUAGAGUAUCGUAGAGGGAGGUAGAAUUCUAGGUGUAGCGGUGAAAUGCGUAGAUAUCUGGAGGAAUACCUGUGGCGAAAGCGGCCUCCUAAACGAAUACUGACACUGAGGUGCGAAAGCGUGGGGAGCAAACAGGGAUUAGAUACC